UACGUAGGGUGCGAGCGUUGUCCGGAAUUAUUGGGCGUAAAGGGCUCGUAGGCGGUUUGUCGCGUCGGGAGUGAAAACCCAGGGCUUAACCCUGGGCUGGCUUCCGAUACGGGCAGACUAGAGGUAUGCAGGGGAGAACGGAAUUCCUGGUGUAGCGGUGAAAUGCGCAGAUAUCAGGAAGAACACCCGUGGCGAAGGCGGCUCUCUGGUACGUGACUGACGCUGAGACGCGAAAGCGUGGGGAGCGAACAGG
rnacentral:rRNA from 1 species